rnacentral:rRNA from 1 species
CCCGGCCUAACCCGUCCACCCCAUGUGAAUUUCAACCGAGCGUUGCUUCGGCGGGUCCCCCGCCCGUAGUUCCCCUGUGGACGCGGGGGGGCUUUUCCCGUCGAUAGCCCCAAAGUCGAACCUGCGCGCAUUGCACUGAAAUGGCGUCUGAGCCAGUGACAAAUUAAUCACGAAAAACUUUCAACAACGGAUCUCUUGGUUCCGGCAUCGAUGAAGAACGCAGCGAAAUGCGAUAAAUAAUGCGAAUUGCAGAAUUCAGUGAGUCAUCGAGUUUUUGAACGCACAUUGCGCCUUCUGGAAUUCCAGAGGGCAUAUCUGUUCGAGCGUCAUUGCAUCUUCGUUCCAGCGGCUAGCUGGGUAGUUGGGCGCUGUCGUCGCGGUGGCCGCGACACGCCUGAAAGUCAUUGUCGACCCCCGUGGGGCUUGGAGCGCAGUAAAACCUUUUUUCGCUCGUUCGAGCUUAUGUUAAACCACGGUCUGGUCCACGCCCCGGACCCCCCCGUAUCCUGGGUGGGGUCCGGGCAGUACAGCAGCGAUUGACCUCGGAUCAGGUAAGGAUACCCGCUGAACUUAAGC